rnacentral:rRNA from 1 species
GGGUCAGCGACUUAUAUUCUGUAGCAAGGUUAACCGAAUAGGGGAGCCGGAGGGAAACCGAGUCUUAAUUGGGCGUUAAGUUGCAGGGUAUAGACCCGAAACCCGGUGAUCUAGCCAUGGGCAGGUUGAAGGUUGGGUAACACUAACUGGAGGACCGAACCGACUAAUGUUGAAAAAUUAGCGGAUGACCUGUGGCUGGGGGUGAAAGGCCAAUCAAACCGGGAGAUAGCUGGUUCUCCCCGAAAGCUAUUUAGGUAGCGCCUCGUGAAUUCAUCUCCGGGGGUAGAGCACUGUUUCGGCUAGGGGGCCAUCCCGGCUUACCAACCCGAUGCAAACUGCGAAUACCGGAGAAUGUUAUCACGGGAGACACACGGCGGGUGCUAACGUCCGUCGUGAAGAGGGAAACAACCCAGACCGCCAGCUAAGGUCCCAAAGUCAUGGUUAAGUGGGAAACGAUGUGGGAAGGCCCAGACAGCCAGGAUGUUGGCUUAGAAGCAGCCAUCAUUUAAAGAAAGCGUAAUAGCUCACUGGUCGAGUCGGCCUGCGCGGAAGAUGUAACGGGGCUAAACCAUGCACC